AUAUCCAAUCAGCACCAAAAUCUACACAUUUGCGGCCAUCAAUUCAUGGCGGAGGAUUGCUACCACAAUAGAGAGUUCUAGCAUGUCUGGUAUUCUGGUAAAUGCAGGCGGACUGGGCGUUACCAGUUUGGUGGAGGCGCAAGCGUGAGUAGCCUGCAGGGUGCAGCAUCUGGUUGCACAGAGCUCAAUCAGAGAAACACAGAGCUAAUAUAGUCACGUGGAUUCUAAGUGGCUGCUGGUGUAAAUUUUUGGCAGCAGUGUAAUCAUAAGCACGUCUUUUUAGAUGUAUUACACUUGGUUACAGCAAUAUUGGCUAUGGUUAAGCUCUGCGCCACUAGGUGGCUGCACUGUGCAGGCCUCUCAUGUUUAUGCUAAAGCAUCAUGGAGGGGCUUUAUGCCUCCGCCCAUCCGUUGAAAUGCCCAGCUCGCCUGCAUUUACCGGAACACCGGUCAUGCUCGGCUCUACAACUGAACACUCGCAACGCAUGCUGCUUGGAUAGCUAUCACUGAGGACCGAUGGCCAGGUGGCUAGCGGAGAGGUUGGUGAGGCUUUGCGUGCUGGAUCCAAGACACCGAAAGUAGACACGUCACAUCAUGAUACAGAGCCAGUGAAGGCAGAGCUUAGCCCCGAUUGCUUGGCAAAUGAGUUGAGAAAAAGCAUGGCUACGGAGGAGGCUAACUUGUAAUUGUCCAUUUCUCUCUUAAUAUAAGACACUUCACUUGAAUUGUGGCGCAAAUGUUUAACUGUAGCUAUACCUUAUGGGUCUACAAAAUUUGUAGAUGAUGUAUGAUGUCAUACAUUGGUGUCUAUACCCUUUAAAGAUGUAAGGUGGGCAUAAUAUGAACUAUCAUUACUUACAACUUGAGUGUGGCUGCAAACAUUGCAUCAGGCUACUUUGUUGGUAUUGGUUUAACCCUUUUAUGCCACUGUUUUUUUCCAGAAAACACCAAAAUUUCCGCAAAUUUUCUUGACUGAUUUAUUGUGAACAGUGUUCUUUACUGCACGGGGGUAAGAGUCCUGCAUUAAUUGUACCAUCUUGUGCCAGCCCUGCACCAAAACACAAAGGUCGAAUGAAAUUGCUAAUUUUGAGACUUCAUUCAGGAUGUGCACAUUCAGUGGCAAUCACACAGCCAUAGCCAUGCAUUGUCUAGCGUUUAGGCCUGGAAUCCAAGCCUAAGCAAUCCAUUUCAGCGUCAGUGUCUUCUAUUUCAGCGUCAGAUUCAGGUGGUACCUUGCAACUUGGCCGCAAGGAAAUGAAAAUAGUUUUGUGCUACAAUUAGAGUUGGGAGAAUUUAGACAAGAACAUUGCUAAAAUUUCCACAAAAUCCACACGUAAGCCACCAAGAAACCGGGACAGUACUUGAAGCACCAAAAUGCAUUGUUUUUAGUAGCAUCAAUAUGUUGAUCACGCUCUGGCCAGCAAAACAUAUGCAGCUUUAUUCCCUACCAUUCAAAUAAAAUGUUAAGUUUAUCACAAGAUGUUGAGCUUAACUUGCUUUUUCUCCUCUAAGAUAAUCUUGAAGUUGGAUGAAGAACAAGAGCUGUUCUAAAUGAAUACUUGCCAAUGGUUCUCAAGGACACAUACAUGUGUCCGCACAUAUAAAGCUAAAGCAUAUAGAUUAAACUCGGAGGGAAGGAGCUAAGGAGUCUGAAAGGAACCCACACAAAUGCUUCCUUUGUUUCUUGCAUGGGCUCAGCAUAUGCAGCUUUGUGGGACUUUGCCAGACAGGUAUUGAAUGACUUCACACCUGGAUAUAUUAGAACCCUGUGCAGCAUACACUACAGUACACACGAGACAAAAAAUACUGCAUGCCAAGUGGCAACGUCCGGAUGGAUUUACGGCAAACCUGUGACAUUGCGCGAGUGAAUGCCCGAAAUGAAAAUACUAAAUGCGAUAAAGUCAACCUUUAAUUUAUUUAAGGGGGGACACGGAGCAAAUAAUUCCGAUUUAUGGCCAAAAAAAAAAUGUGUUUCCAGAUUAUAACAUUUUCAGGUUCCUUUACUAUCUGAGAAUGUGCCGAAAAUUUUUUACCCUCAUCAGCGCAGUAGAAAUGCUCAAAAUAGGGUUUUUUCAAAAGCCGGUGACUCCGCCCAAACAAAAAUGUCCCGAUUUCCUGCAGCUUCGUCGUGCUCGCGAACUGGCCACAGUUCACUCGUACGUAACUGCAGGGGGCAAGGUGGAAUACCACCAGCUGACCACUGCUCGAGGUGAUAGCAGCCAUGGACAGUGUGAAAAGAAGGCAGCGGUCCUUGUUCCUUUUUCUUUGUUUUUUUAACACCGAAGCUGUUUAAGCUAGCCGUAAAAAGUAUGGUGUUUACAGAAAGCUAGCCGCGCCGUAGCCAUGGCACCCAGCGACGCCGCAGCUGCUAGAACACCUGGCGCAACCUACCGCCUGUGUACUGCACACGCGCCGACAGCGAGCAAUGCUAUGCAAGCCCGUGCGCGGCGGCACUCGAUUAGAUGCAGCCAUGGGACGUUUCUCGUGUUCGCGCCAGGGAAACGCGGGUGGCAUCGGCAGCAGCUCGAUGACACUGCGUGCAACCGGUUUCCGCCGCCGUGCCGAGUUCUGCGCAUGCGCCAUGAUAACGAUUGGAUCUGUGCAUGCGCUGACCUUGAGGCAACAGUUAUGUAAGCAUGUGCGCGGCGGCGCUCGAUCAGUGGAAGCCAUGGGAUGCCCAAAGAUGGUUCGUACUCCCGAAGAGGAGGCCGCGCUUUGCAAAGCAAGGCUCACUGCUAAGCGGUAGAGGCAGCGGCAACCUAGCAUCAGCCAAGUUGCAACCUAGUAUCAGCCAUAAUAAGCCCCUACGAUCGCCCAACUUCGCUGUUUCAAGCCUUGCAUGGCCGAGUGCAAGCUUAAGCCUUUUUUUUUUUUAAUAUCUGCCGCAACUUUUUCGCGCCAUAUCGCCCAAGGCCCAUUUUGCACCAUUUCGCUCGAACCGAAGCUCCGCUUUUGGAUACCUUCUUUCGCUUUUCUAUGCACUGGUUAUCUGAUCGCUUGGCAAUUUUUUCCAGGCAGUGCUUAGAAGCAGCAGCACCAUGCAGUGCUUGUCACGGGCAAAAGCCAGGCACUUGGCAGCUCAAAAGUGGCCAGGAAAAAGAGAAAGCUUGCAGCUAAUGUCACGGAACAAAGCUGAAUUGAAGAAGGCCCAACAUAUGUUGCAGGAGAAUUUUAGUUACGAUAGAUGCAUCUUGAAUGAGGUGAUGCGCUUAAGGACUUUUGGAACAGUUUUUAUCUUCUUUUUCAUAAAAGUUUGUGAUUGCAAAAAAAAAAUCUACCGUAACUUGCACUGGAGGCGCAAUGUUAAAGAGACAGCGGAGCUGAUGGGCACCCAGCUAGUCCUGGCUUUUGGGCUAGGCUAAGCGCUACCAAGCCAUCCCCAGCAUUUUCCGGAAUUUAUUGAUUAUUGAUCGAUUACCGGUUAGCUAUUAAUAGAUUGGCUAUCGCAAGGUGAAAAGUAAUAAUGUGGACCAUCACGUUUGUUGACGUGCAGUGCGGUGAGAAAGGACUCGAAGGCAAUAUUGGGGGCGGGUUGCACAGGCGGACAUAUAAUUCACACUAUUCUCUUACAUAGAAACAAGUAAAAUUCCCUAGUACAGGUUAUCUGCUAGCGUAUGAAGUCUUACGAUGCGGCAGACUACUAAGUUUCACUCACUCGCCCAAUAACCCGCAAAGUCCGGGCGUCGCAGCAGGCCCCAGUGGUCGCUCACGUGUGGUCGGAACCUUUAUUGACAUGCCGUAUGCGGCGGAGGCGGCUAGGGUAGGCAGUGGUGGUGGCACGGCGACAGCCACUUGGUUGAUGGCUCGGGAUUCCGACGCCGGAACUACGAGAGCAUCAAACUCCCCAGAGCACAGGAACUGCAGGAUCUCGGGAACCGGCCAGGCACGGGACAUGGGCAGGGACUCUGUUCGGUGGCUUGCGACCCGUCACGAGGCUGCCCAGCGGUACACCCGGGUAGCCCUUACGGGACUCCUUCCACAAACCUCGCUCGGCCCUCGUUUGAUCUGCCCUCGUGGCCGCAGCUGCCCGUUCGCUCGUGUCUUCUUCUUUUUUUUUUUCUGCCACCAACCUUUUUUCUUUCAGUCUUUGAUUACGAAAGCUCAUUCAAAAGACACUUAUUAUACAUGCGAAGCUAAUGGGCACAAGUCACACCACAUGUUUUGGGCAUUCCGGAGAAUUGCAUGCGUUGCAGGACGAACUAGAGAAUUGGUUAGUCUAGGCGUGGGCCACCAUCGCGUUUACAAUUGUUGCUGAGUCGUUUGAUAUAUGCAGAAUAUCAAACACAAUAGACCAUACAGAGGACAUGUUAUGGUUCAUAGACAGCAAUAAAGUUCUGACCGAGAGGGAUGACUGUGGACAUAAAAGAGUAAAUAAAUUUCCAUUCUGUGAAGGUAAAGUGCGCUGGUUUUGUAUUUUUUGUACCAAAGCAACUUACUGUAAUUUCUACAUUAGUUUUAAACUUUGAUGCCAUAUAAAGUGGUGGCAUGUUUAAUUUGGCGUCAUUUUAGAGCAAACACUGUCAAAUGAAUCAGCGAUGUGUCUGCAUUUUUUCACCUGUUUAAUUAUUCGACUUGCCAAAUAAUUCGAUCAGUUUUGUCCGUCCCAUCGGAGUCAGAUUAUCAAAAGUCGACUGUACGAUGUUGGUCUCUUGCUAUAACAUGCAUCAUGUCUGAAUCUAUCGUACCAAGAAACACUACUCCUUGCCAGACACGGUCACUGUGGGAGCACAUGAGAUGACUGCCUCCUCAACCUCUUUGAGAAAGUGGCUGCACAAUUUCCUUAAAGGAAUUUCACACACUGCCUUAAACAUAACGAGAACCUCACUUUCU